rnacentral:antisense_RNA from 1 species
CCUCCGCCCCUCUACUCCUCUCUUCUUUCCUCUCUCCCUCCCUGCUCCCCCACCUACGCCCCGAGUCGUAGACUCCCUUCCCCCCGGCGCUCGGAGCCUCCUUCCCGCCCCGCCGCGCAGGUGCAGCGACGGUCGCGUCACUGGAGAGUGUGUCGAGUCACAGGCGGUCUUCCGCGCGGAGCGUCUCCGGCGGACGCUGCGCAGAUGGCUGCGACUGUAGGAUUCUUGCCGGCUAGUCUCCGUCGGUUCCGUCUGCGUCAGGUUACUCGUGAAAACUGGAAUAAGUGCUAUUGAUGUGAAAUCCGAGGAAAAGAGCAUUCAGGGGGAAAAGUUAUUUCCUUCCAAUCUCAUCCCAAAUGGAGGUUGCAGCAGGGUGGAGUCUUUGGACAAUCUUGUUUACUGCUGCAUCCCCAGUGUCAAGAACGCUGCCUGAACAUAGAAAGUCUUUAAUAUGUAUUUGCUGAAAUAAAAGUAAAAAUUCAGUCUGGUGUCUCCAUAAUCACAGCGAUGGCCUUGUAAACAGGUAGUGAUGUGGACAGAGCCAUCUGUGCUGCU